GUCCACGCCGUAACGAUGGAUACUAGCUGUUGGGAGCGAUCUCAGUGGCUAAGCGAAAGUGAUAAGUAUCCCACCUGGGGAGUACGUUCGCAAGAAUGAAACUCAAAGGAAUUGACGGGGCCCGCACAAGCGGUGGAGCAUGUGGUUUAAUUCGAUGAUACGCGAGGAACCUUACCAAGGCUUAAAUGUAGAUUGACCGGUUUGGAAACAGACUUUUUCGCAAGACAAUUUACAAGGUGCUGCAUGGUUGUCGU
rnacentral:rRNA from 1 species